rnacentral:rRNA from 1 species
UACGAAGGGGGCUAGCGUUGCUCGGAAUCACUGGGCGUAAAGCGCGCGUAGGCGGCUUUGUAAGUUAGAGGUGAAAGCCCGGAGCUCAACUCCGGAAUAGCCUUUAAGACUGCAUCGCUAGAACGUUGGAGAGGUAAGUGGAAUUCCGAGUGUAGAGGUGAAAUUCGUAGAUAUUCGGAAGAACACCAGUGGCGAAGGCGACUUACUGGACAACUGUUGACGCUGAGGUGCGAAAGCGUGGGGAGCAAACAGG